GAUGAAGAACGUAGCGAAAUGCGAUAAGUAAUGUGAAUUGCAGAAUUCCGUGAAUCAUCGAAUCUUUGAACGCACAUUGCGCCCCCUGGCAUUCCGGGGGGCAUGCCUGUCCGAGCGUCAUUUCUGCCCUCAAGCACGGCUUGUGUGUUGGGUGUGGUCCCCCCGGGGACCUGCCCGAAAGGCAGCGGCGACGUCCGUCUGGUCCUCGAGCGUAUGCGGCUCUGUCACUCGCUCGGGAAGGACCUGCGGGGGUUGGUCACCACUAUAUUUUACCACGGUUGACCUCGGAUCAGGUAGGAGUUACCCGCUGAACUUAAGCAUAUCAAUAAGCGGAGGA
rnacentral:misc_RNA from 1 species